CCCUUAGAUGUUCUGGGCCGCACGCGCGCUACACUGAUGCAUUCAACGAGUCCAACCUUGACCGAGAGGUCCGGGUAAUCUUUGAAACUGCAUCGUGAUGGGGCUAGAUUAUUGCAAUUAUUAAUCUUCAACGAGGAAUGCCUAGUAAGCGUGAUUCAUCAAAUCGCGUUGAUUACGUCCCUGCCCUUUGUACACACCGCCCGUCGCUCCUACCGAUUGAGUGUGUUGGGGAGGAGUUUGGAUUGGCCUCGGAAGGUGGUUCGCCACCGUCCGUAGCUGAGAAGUUCUCCAAACCGCCCCACUUAGAGGAAGGAGAAGUCGUAACA
rnacentral:rRNA from 1 species